rnacentral:rRNA from 1 species
AUUGAACGCUGGCGGCAUGCUUUACACAUGCAAGUCGAACGGUAACAGGCCGCAAGGUGCUGACGAGUGGCGAACGGGUGAGUAAUGCAUCGGAACGUGCCCAGUCGUGGGGGAUAACGCAGCGAAAGCUGUGCUAAUACCGCAUACGAUCUAUGGAUGAAAGCGGGGGACCGUAAGGCCUCGCGCGAUUGGAGCGGCCGAUGUCAGAUUAGGUAGUUGGUGGGGUAAAGGCCUACCAAGCCGACGAUCUGUAGCUGGUCUGAGAGGACGACCAGCCACACUGGGACAGAGACACGGCCCAGACUCCUACGGGAGGCAGCAGUGGGGAAUUUUGGACAAUGGGCGCAAGCCUGAUCCAGCAAUGCCGCGUGCAGGAAGAAGGCCUUCGGGUUGUAAACUGCUUUUGUACGGAACGAAACGGCCUGGGUUAAUACCCUGGGCUAAUGACGGUACCGUAAGAAUAAGCACCGGCUAACUACGUGCCAGCCGCCGCGGUAAUAC